GUUAAAAGGAAAAGGAAGAAUACUUCAAGUCAAGUGAACAUAAGCUGUGACAUGCAAGUCCGAGAUCUUAACUUCAAAGACUUACUGCACAGAAGACAGAUACAGGUUGCCUGGGAACCUGUUGAACUUUUGGCAUCAAUUAGAGAAAGCUUAAAGCUACCCUUCUGGCUGCAAGCAUCCCUCAUGAACCAUCCACCUGUCCAGAAGAGCCAGAUAAUGGACCAUUCUGGACCUGUCUGUAACCCCAGAACCCCUCCCAAGCAAGGAGUAUUUCUAAAGGCUUUUACCCUUUUAUGACCUCCUUAUAUUGCUGAAGUGAUGUAGUUUGGAUGAGUCCAAUACAGACUUAACUCUUUCAUGUGCAUUUUUAAGCUGGUGAAAGCAGAAGUGCGCCCCACCACAGUCCAUGGCAGAUUUGUCUGCCAUUCAGGCCUAAUGAAUUUCUUCUCUCACUAAGCAGAAUUGGAGUGAAAUUUUUUAGCUAUAUAAUUAGGAUGAGACUUUACAAUGUAUGCUGCCCAGUUACAGCAAUUUAGUGAACAUAUCUGUUGAAAUGAAGAUAGAGGAAAGGCGGGUGAUUUGUGUAGAAAGUUGCAUCAUCUGAGAAAUCAUUGCAAAAUGAUGACUGCAGCCAUGAUAUGUGUGUAGUCAUAGUGAAAGAAAUUGACUUAUAUGGCCAGUUAUAAUAUAUUUCACCUAAUGGAGGAAGAGCUGAGUCAAUGAACAAUUUUGUAUCACCAUUAUUGCAAAAUGAUUACAGCCCCCUUUAUCACAGCUGUACAAUAUGCUGACUGAACAGGAAAACAUGCAGUACACACAGUGUAGUGAUUUCCACCACCGUAUAAGUAAAUGUCAGACUUGUUUCAUCUAUUCAGUGAUUUUCUUAAUGAAAACGUCAGCAUAAUGCUGGCAUUUUCCUCCUUUCAUUUAAUUCCUCCUCUCCUCUUUUAUCCACUAUUUGACCUUUGCAUGUACUUGGUAGCCUGCCCAAGGUGCUGUCACACCUUCACUGCUCCUCUCUAAUGAUGGUCUCUCACUGCCAGAUUCAAACAGGGUACUUGGGAAGGAAUUGCAGGGCCCUGUUCCCAGCAGGAGGGUGAAAAUCUUCACUACUUUAGCUGACUUUCACUUCUGCUCUGAAAAGACUAACCAGUGAUUGUUCACAAAAGUUAACCUGCUCAAAUAGCAUCCUGUUACAGCAGUCUAAGGCUCCAGAGAAGAAGGCACAAUGAUUGCAGCUACAGCAAGACAGGAAUACCAAGGGCUAGUAACUGCUGAAUGAGUCAUGAUUAGUGGA
rnacentral:lncRNA from 1 species